rnacentral:RNase_P_RNA from 1 species
GAGGAAAGUCCGGGCUCCUUGGACAAACUGCCAGGUAACACCUGGGCACAGCGAUGAGCUGUGACGGAAAGUGCCACAGAAAACAAACCGCCAGUACUUCGGUACUGGUAAGGGUGAAAUGGUGGGGUAAGAGCCCACCGCGUCACCGGUAACGGUGGCGGCACGGUAAACCCCAGUUGGAGCAAGGCCAAAUAGGCGGCGAGAGACAGUCCUUCUCGAUCAAGACGUCGCGGGUUGGCUGCAGGAGCGUGAUGGUGACAUCACGCCGAGAGGAAUGAUCAUCCGGAUCUUUGAUCCGACAGAACCCGGCUUA